rnacentral:rRNA from 1 species
CUGCGAAUGGCUCAUUAAAUCAGUUAUCGUUUAUUUGAUAGUACCUUACUACUUGGAUAACCGUGGUAAUUCUAGAGCUAAUACAUGCUAAAAACCCCGACUCCGGAAGGGGUGUAUUUAUUAGAUAAAAAACCAACGCCCUUCGGGGCUCCUUGGUGAUUCAUAAUAACUAAACGAAUCGCAUGGCCUUGCGCCGGCGAUGGUUCAUUCAAAUUUCUGCCCUAUCAACUUUCGAUGGUAGGAUAGUGGCCUACCAUGGUAUCAACGGGUAACGGGGAAUUAGGGUUCUAUUCCGGAGAGGGAGCCUGAGAAACGGCUACCACAUCCAAGGAAGGCAGCAGGCGCGCAAAUUACCCAAUCCCGACACGGGGAGGUAGUGACAAUAAAUACUGAUACAGGGCUCUUACGGGUCUUGUAAUUGGAAUGAGUACAAUUUAAAUCCCUUAACGAGGAACAAUUGGAGGGCAAGUCUGGUGCCAGCAGCCGCGGUAAUUCCAGCUCCAAUAGCGUAUAUUAAAGUUGUUGCAGUUAAAAAGCUCGUAGUUGAACCUUGGGCCUGGCUGGCCGGUCCGCCUCACCGCGUGCACUGGUCCGGCCGGGCCUUUCCUUCUGGGGAUCCGCAUGUCCUUUACUGGGUGUGUCGGGGAACCAGGACUUUUACUUUGAAAAAAUUAGAGUGUUCAAAGCAGGCCUUUGCUCGAAUACAUUAGCAUGGAAUAAUAGAAUAGGACGUGCGGUUCUAUUUUGUUGGUUUCUAGGACCGCCGUAAUGAUUAAUAGGGAUAGUCGGGGGCAUCAGUAUUCAAUUGUCAGAGGUGAAAUUCUUGGAUUUAUUGAAGACUAACUACUGCGAAAGCAUUUGCCAAGGAUGUUUUCAUUAAUCAGUGAACGAAAGUUAGGGGAUCGAAGACGAUCAGAUACCGUCGUAGUCUUAACCAUAAACUAUGCCGACUAGGGAUCGGGCGAUGUUACUAUUCUGACUCGCUCGGCACCUUACGAGAAAUCAAA